rnacentral:rRNA from 1 species
CUGCUAGGGAGAAGGGUUGGGAAGGGUAGUUUCUCUCCAUCGAGAGGCAAGAAGUCUUUGUUGCCCACAAGAAGAAGGAGGUUCGAGGUGUGAAGGUGUCGUAGGGAUCUUUUCUUUGUGAACAAGAGGGAGGAGAGGAGCGUCUUAAAAAGCUCCUUCUUUGGUGUUAGGUUUGCCGGACAGCGGUUCUUUGACUCUCCUUGGCGCCUGUGUAUCACGAAGGUAGACGCACUCUUCUCUUCUACUAGGGCAAAUAUCUCGUUUCCUCAAGGCUCAACUAGAUCGACGCGGUCGGGAGCUCGCCUUCGGGUAGCUACCGCUACUACCUUCGCGUACCGCCGUGCGGCUCCUGGCUACGGCCGCCCUCAUCCCACCUCAGGCUCGUCUCCUUCGAUGCCGCGCAGCUCGAGGGGAGGACCAGGACGGGAGGGUUGGCCGGAGGCCCGUGGACUCGGACGGACGAGCCGCGAGGCCAGAAGACGAAGAAGGAGAGAGAGCUAGACGGAGAAAGCUAAACACAGGAUGCCAAGCACUUGUCAGAGUCCCUCGUUCGAUGCUAGGAACGCGCGAAGAGGAAGAACACAGACUAGGACAGGAGGCGCCGAAGUUGCUGUCCCGAGACGAAAAGGACACUAGAACAACCUUCGAAACGAGGGUUCCAGGCGGUAAAGACUCCGCUGACUGGAACCCUCUUCCAGAAACUGGACAGACCUGGUGGCACAAGAACCCUUGGUCCGGCAGCCAGAGCGACAACAAAGGAAGGACAACCGGAGGCAACAGACGCGAACGCCGACGACGUCCAGUUGUAUAAAGAACCCUUUGUGUCCACGAACACGAAGCCUCGGACGAGGAGAGAGCAGCAACAGCGCUUCUAGACGCUGUAAGCCCUGCUGUUUCGCACGAGCCAAGAACCGGGAGCACGGACAUUUAGGAACGAAGCGUUCGCAGCUAGCUCGAACAGAGGGGGCACCGUCAAGUUCUUUGUUAUAAGACUGGGGACCAAACGUAAAGUGGAGCGGCUAAAGAGACAUCGACGUCGACGUCGGUCAUGCGAGAGCUAGAACGUAGGAAACCGGAACACCCUGCUGUACUUGAGACCGGAGAAGUCGCCGCGCCACCCCGAGAUGCUACCCAAAAUGCCACCAAAGCCGCCGCCCGUACCCGGACUUGUACCGAAACCGGUCGUCGACCCUCGCAGCUGCAGCAGCCAGGACGACCUGCCGCUCUGCCCCCUCGACCCGCGUCGGCGGCGGCGCCUGCACGGCUUCUCCUUCCCUCCUCCCGCCCUCCUCUUCCGCCGCUGCCGUGAGUCCUCGGUGUCGCUUCGCCUCGCCGCCGCCUCCCUCUCCUAGUUGCGCGUGGACCGGUGCGAGGCCUCGUACGAGGGGACGUGGCUGUUCUACCUGUUCCGCCGCGACGAGCGCCUCCACUAUUUGGUGCAGUUCUUCGAGUUCUCGCUCCGCCGCGCCCACCCGUUCGUGACGGGGCAGGGCAGGCCGCGACUGCUCCAGUGGCAGCUCCAGCAGGUCGUUGGCGUUCUUAGGGGGGUGGUGCUGGCGUGGCCGCGGCGGAAGGAGCAGUUCCGCUGCGAGUCGACGCCGCUGCCGACGCGCCUGGAGAAGCGGCUGCACUCCGCGCGCGACGUCGGCGAGCGCGGCUCCCAGCAGCCGAGCCUCCAGUGGUGCGACCCGCCCGCGCAGGCCUAGUGGCAGCGGUACAGCGCGCUCCCGCGGCACUGGCGCCGGAGCCAGGCGGUCCGCGAGCUGAGCCACGAGCUGUCCCAGCGGUCGCGGCGGCGGCGGAAGCUCAAGAGCGGCUCCCUGAGCGAGGACCGGCCGUUGUUUGCGGCCUCCCAGAGGUGCAAGCUGAGGAGGUCGAGAAGAACAACUGUGCCGGCCGAGGUGCCUAAUAAGCCUGGCAGGUUGGCUGUCAUCCUGCGAAACCACGUACGUACCACCUAGGUAGGCCGAAGCGGGUGUCUAACUGAGACUCGGACGCUACGUUUCUAGCACGCUGAACUGAAAAGUAGCCAGCACCGAGCACCUCUAUGUUUUCGUUUCACGGUACACUUGUAACGAACCCAACUAACAGAAGACUAAACAUAUUCUUAACUGUAAAAGGUCCGAUAAGUCUGAAAACCCACCUUGAAUUUGGACAGUCAAACAGAUAAAAGAGUUUACUGUCUCAAAAUGAGGCGAGAGUUGACGUUUAAUAAGUCCUAAGCCUGACUUCUACAAGAAAAAGGCUUUUCCGACCUGACUUCUUUUAGUCAUGUCGAUGGGGGUUUCUUCGUCGUCGUUAUAUAGUUCUAACCGAUGUAUAGCUAACUAAAGUUUAAACACGAGGACGUCCAGUGUUCACUAGGGAACGUACGUAGACUUUUAGAGCGUGGCUGCGGAUGUGGCUGUGGAACAACGGUGUCAUCGGGAGCAGGAUGACAAGUUCACCCACAAGUCCGUCCCUUGUUAGUUACCAGGCAUGGCGGCGCGGGUAGCGUCCAGCUACUGUUUGGUUUGUUUUCUACCCGUGUAGGGACUGAGACUAGACUACUCCAGUACUUAAGAACUGCUUGUUCGACCGGCAGCUGCGAGCGUGCAUG